rnacentral:rRNA from 1 species
GAUGAACGCUAGCGAUAGGCUUAACACAUGCAAGUCGAGGGGCAGCAUGGUCUUAGCUUGCUAAGGCUGAUGGCGACCGGCGCACGGGUGCGUAACGCGUAUGCAACUUGCCUCACAGAGGGGGAUAACCCGUCGAAAGACGGACUAAUACCGCGUACACUCUAUGUUGGGCAUCCAAUGUAGAGGAAAUGAAAUUCGCUGUGAGAUAGGCAUGCGUCCCAUUAGCUAGUUGGUGAGGUAACGGCUCACCAAGGCGACGAUGGGUAGGGGAACUGAGAGGUUGAACCCCCACACUGGUACUGAGACACGGACCAGACUCCUACGGGAGGCAGCAGUGAGGAAUAUUGGUCAAUGGGCGAGAGCCUGAACCAGCCAAGUCGCGUGAAGGAUGACUGUCUUAUGGAUUGUAAACUUCUUUUAUACGGGAAUAACAAGAGUCACGUGUGGCUCCCUGCAUGUACCGUAUGAAUAAUCAUCGGCUAACUCCGUG